AUGCAGUCGAGCGGCAGCACGGGUACUUGUACCUGGUGGCGAGCGGCGGACGGGUGAGUAAUGCCUAGGAAUCUGCCUGGUAGUGGGGGAUAACGCUCGGAAACGGACGCUAAUACCGCAUACGUCCUACGGGAGAAAGCAGGGGACCUUCGGGCCUUGCGCUAUCAGAUGAGCCUAGGUCGGAUUAGCUAGUUGGUGAGGUAAUGGCUCACCAAGGCGACGAUCCGUAACUGGUCUGAGAGGAUGAUCAGUCACACUGGAACUGAGACACGGUCCAGACUCCUACGGGAGGCAGCAGUGGGGAAUAUUGGACAAUGGGCGAAAGCCUGAUCCAGCCAUGCCGCGUGUGUGAAGAAGGUCUUCGGAUUGUAAAGCACUUUAAGUUGGGAGGAAGGGCAGUUACCUAAUACGUGAUUGUUUUGACGUUACCGACAGAAUAAGCACCGGCUAACUCUGUGCCAGCAGCCGCGGUAAUACAGAGGGUGCAAGCGUUAAUCGGAAUUACUGGGCGUAAAGCGCGCGUAGGUGGUUUGUUAAGUUGAAUGUGAAAUCCCCGGGCUCAACCUGGGAACUGCAUCCAAAACUGGCAAGCUAGAGUAUGGUAGAAGGGUGGUGGGAAUUUCCUGUGGUAGCGGUGAAAUGCGUAGAAUAUAGGAAGGAACACCAGUGGCGAAGGCGACCACCUGGACUGAUACUGACACUUGAGGUGGCGAAAGCGUGGGGAGCAAACAGGAUUAGAUACCCUGGUAGUCCACGCCGUAACGAUGUCAACUAGCCGUUGGGAGCCUUGGAGCUCUUAGUGGCGCAGCUAACGCAUUAAGUUGACCGCCUGGGGAGUACGGGCCGCAAGGUUAAAACUCAAAUGAAUUGACGGGGGCCCGCACAAGCGGUGGAAGCUGUGGGUUAAUUCGAAGCAACGCGAAGAACCUUACCAGGCCUUGACUUCCAAUGAACUUUCCA
rnacentral:rRNA from 1 species